rnacentral:rRNA from 1 species
AUGAGGCGAUCUUCUUCGUCGUCCUGGCUCGCAAGCGCCGUGGUCCUCCUGCCUAUUAUCGCAUGGUGCUUCCUGCUGCCAUGCUGCGCCGCCAGGCCCAAAGGCUUUAAUUUUCCAACCUGGUGGCGUGGACGAGGAAUACAGCCGCAAUCACCUAUGCCCGGGAAAUCGAGGGGACCGAACCAUGACUACGCUCCGCUGCCACAACUUGCGUAG